rnacentral:rRNA from 1 species
UUACACAUGCAAGUCGAAACGGCAGGCACGGGAGCAAUCCUGGUGGCGAGUGGCGAACGGGUGAGUAAUAGUAUCGGAACGUGCCCAGUCGUGGGGGAUAACGUAGCGAAAGCUACGCUAAUACCGCAUACGAUCUAUGGAUGAAAGCGGGGGAUCGCAAGACCUCGCGCGAUUGGAGCGGCCGAUAUCAGAUUAGGUAGUUGGUGAGGUAAAGGCUCACCAAGCCGACGAUCUGUAGCUGGUCUGAGAGGACGACCAGCCACACUGGGACUGAGACACGGCCCCAGACUCCUACGGGAGGCAGCAGUGGGGGAAUUUUUGGACAAUGGGCGCAAGCCUGAUCCAGCAAUGCCGCGUGCAGGAUGAAGGCCUUCGGGUUGUAAACUGCUUUUGUACGGAACGAAACGGUGAGCUCUAAUACAGUUUGCUAAUGACGGUACCGUAAGAAUAAGCACCGGCUAACUACGUG